rnacentral:rRNA from 1 species
UACGGGGGGGGCAAGCGUUUGUUUGGAAUUACUGGGCGUAAAGGGCUCGUAGGCGGCCAACUAAGUCAGACGUGAAAUCCCCAGGCUCAACCUGGGAACUGCGUCUGAUACUGGUUGGCUUGAAUCCGGGAGAGGGAUGCAGAAUUCCAGGUGUAGCGGUGAAAUGCGUAGAUAUCUGGAGGAAUACCGGUGGCGAAGCGGCAUCCUGGACCGGCAUUGACGCUGAGGCGCGAAAGCUAGGGGAGCAAACGGG